ensembl:misc_RNA Y_RNA Y RNA
GGCUGGUCUGAAGGCAGUGAGUUAUCUCACUUUGGUUGUUCACAGUCAGUUACAGAUAAAACACCUUGUUCUCUUUCCCUACUUCUUGCUACUGUACUUGACUAAUCUUUA